UUUAUACUCCCUCCGUCUCAAAAUUCUUGUCUUAAAUUCGUCUAGAUACGGAUGUAUCUAAUACUAAAAUGUGACUUGAUACAUCCGUAUUUAGACAAAUCUAAAACGAGAAUUUUGGGACGGAGGGAGUAUGAU
rfam:Triticum urartu cultivar G1812 contig626787, whole genome shotgun sequence.